GUGGUCUAACUGGUUAGAGCGUCCGCCUCGAACGCGGGAUGUCGCUGGUUUGAACCCCAGCCAAGUCA